rnacentral:rRNA from 1 species
UACGAAGGGGGCUAGCGUUAUUCGGAAUUACUGGGCGUAAAGCGUGCGCAGGCGGCUUCUCAAGUCAGGGGUGAAAGCCCAGAGCUCAACUCUGGAAUUGCCUUUGAGACUGAGUGGCUUGAGUACGGGAGAGGUGAGUGGAAUUCCCAGUGUAGAGGUGAAAUUCGUAGAUAUUGGGAAGAACACCGGUGGCGAAGGCGGCUCACUGGCCCGUAACUGACGCUCAUGCACGACAGCGUGGGGAUCAAACAGG